rnacentral:misc_RNA from 1 species
GUCUUUCUCAACUGCAACUUAAACAACAAUGCCAAGCAGACCCUUAGUAGAGAAAAUUACUAAAACCCCUGAGCUUUAGCAUAGUACACACUUUCGUCCAGGCUGUUUCAAAGUUAGAUGCUUUCCCCCCUAAAAUUUAUUAACAAUUGUACACUUUAGCCCUUAAUGUAUAAAAUAGUCAUUGACUGUAAAUUUGACCACACUUUACUCUCUGAAACUUUGAAAUUUGAUUGGACUUUAAUCCUUGAUUGUUCUAUUAGAAACACUUUGUUCCUUUAAUUUUUCACUUCUCAUAGAUGGUAAUUUAAGGAAAAACAAAGUGCCUAAUUUUGAAACAACAAGAAUUAAAUUAUAUAAAAGGGUUGUAGUAAUUUAUGAUAUUCUAGUAAACAAAAGAGUUAUUUGGUAGCAUAAAUUAUAGAGAAUAUAAACAAGAGUUUAAAGGAAAGAAUGGCUUUCUAUUAAAAUUAUGCAAAACAAGUCACUUUUAGGGGGC